GACGAACGCUGGCGGCGUGCCUAACACAUGCAAGUCGUGCGGUCUCGCCUUAAGCGAAAGGCCUUCGGGCUUUGAAGCAAAGGCGAGAUAGCGGCGGACGGGUGAGUAACGCGUGGCUUAUCUGUCCCAGGGAGGGGGAUAACGUCUGGAAACGGGCGCUAAUACCCCAUAUGCCGAAAGGUAAAAAGGAGAGAUCCGCCCUGGGGUGAGGCCGCGUCCUAUCAGCUCGUUGGUGAGGUAACGGCCCACCAAGGCUAUGACGGGUAGCCGGCCUGAGAGGGCGGCUGGCCACACUGGGAUUGAGAUACGGCCCAGACUCCUACGGGAGGCAGCAGUGGGGAAUAUUGGGCAAUGGGGGAAACCCUGACCCAGCGACGCCGCGUGGAGGAAGGAGCCCUUCGGGGUGUAAACUCCUGUUGUAAGGGAAGAAGACAGUGACGGUACCUUACGAGGAAGCCCCGGCAAACUACGUG
rnacentral:rRNA from 2 species